CCAGCAGGGGCCGGGUGCGCCAGGCCUGGCUGAGGUAGUAGUUUGUGCUGUUGGUCGGGUUGUGACAUUGCCCGCUGUGGAGAUAACUGCGCAAGCUACUGCCUUGCUAGUGCUGGUGAUGAUCAGCUGCAGACGAA
rnacentral:pre_miRNA from 7 species